rnacentral:lncRNA from 1 species
GAAUACUUCAUACAAAAAGAAAUAAUUUUUCAGCUUUUGAUGAUCUCGGAGUUAUCAAUAUCCUCAGCUGUAUUGUCACAGGCCAACUUGGAGCAUGUAGCAGGAAUCAUCUCGACUUCAGCCACAACAAUCAGUCUCUUCUUACCUCCUGUAAGGGCAAAGCUAUUCUUGCCGCUUUCCUCAGAUCUUUUGUGCUCUCCCUCCUUUCUUUUCUCUCCUCUAUAUAGAAUUUUUCUGCAUCCAUUUUUGCGGAUAAGGGAUUUCCUGCAGUUAGAGGAGCGUAUUUACUCGGUUAAUUAGUGAGGAUCCUGCAUUGAUCUGACUUCACUUUUCCUAAUUUUGUAUUGAUAUGAAACUUACAAGGGAACAUCGCACCCAAUGUGUCUG